rnacentral:rRNA from 1 species
GGGGUGAAUAAAGCGGCGGACGGGUGAGUAACACGUAGCUAACCUGCCCUUCGGUCCGGAAUAACGGUUCGAAAGGACCGCUAAUACCUGAUACGCCGGAAGGUCUAUCCGAUUUUCCGUGAAAGCGGAGCAAUCCGCGCCGGAGGAGGGGGCUGCGGCCUAUUAGCUAGUUGGUGAGGUAACGGCCCACCAAGGCGACGAUGGGUAGCUGAUCUGAGAGGAUGGUCAGCCACACUGGGACUGCGACACGGCCCAGACUCCUACGGGAGGCAGCAGUUAAGAAUCUUGCACAAUGGGCGAAAGCCUGAUGCAGCGACGCCGCGUGGGUGAUGAAGGCCUUCGGGUCGUAAAACCCUUUUCUGGGGAACGAGCAAGGACGGUACCCCAGGAAUAAGCCUCGGCUAACUAUGUGCCAGCAGCCGCGGUAACACAUAGGAGGCAAGCGUUAUCCGGAUUUAUUGGGCGUAAAGUGCGUUGAGGCGGUUCUGUAAGUUGGACGUGAAAGCUCCUGGCUUAACUGGGAGAGGCCGUCAAUACUGCAGGGCUUGAGGACAGCAGAGGGGGGUGGAAUUCCCGGUGUAGUGGUGAAAUGCGUAGAUAUCGGGAGGAACACCAGUGGCGAAUGCGGCCCCCUGGGCUGUUCCUGACGCUGAAGGCGAAAGCUAGGGGAGCGAACGGGAUUAGACACCCCGGUAGUCCUAGCUGUACACGAUGGAUACUAGGUGUGGGGGGUUAAAAUUCUCCCUGUGCCAAAGCUAACGCGUUAAGUAUCCCGCCUGAGGACUACG